GCCGGGGGUGGUGGUGAACGCCUGUCAUCCCAGCAGCUCGGGAGGCUGAGGCAGGAGGAUCGAGAGUUCAAAGCCAGCCUCAGCAAUAGCGAGGCCCUAAGCAACUCAGUGAGACCCUGUCUCUA
rnacentral:sRNA from 1 species